rnacentral:rRNA from 1 species
AAGAGUUUGAUCAUGGCUCAGAUUGAACGCUGGCGGCAGGCCUAACACAUGCAAGUCGAGCGGUAGCACAGAGAGCUUGCUCUCGGGUGACGAGCGGCGGACGGGUGAGUAAUGUCUGGGAAACUGCCUGAUGGAGGGGGAUAACUACUGGAAACGGUAGCUAAUACCGCAUAACGUCGCAAGACCAAAGUGGGGGGACCUUCGGGCCUCAUGCCAUCAGAUGUGCCCAGAUGGGAUUAGCUAGUAGGUGGGG